CCUUCAAUGCAGAAGAGUUGAGGUGGUUGAGUAUCUCGCCCCUCAAUUCUCGCUGUAUUUUACCCUUGUUUUUCUCAUACUAUUAUUCCUCGGCAGGCCAGCCUGCCGGGUGAAACAACUUCAAACCUGUUUAAUUUUCAAUCAGCGUCUGAACAAAUUAAUAAUUA
rnacentral:misc_RNA from 1 species